GGGGCGGGUUCUAUUUCCUGGCUUCAAAGCCCAGUUUCCUGGUACAGCGCUGAGAGUCGCCCCAGCUGGCUAGGCCGUCCUGCUUUAGGAUUUCUACUGGCUGCAGACUGCGGGAAGCACCCGGGGAGACCCUCCAGCGACAAUGGGUUAGGACUAAGAAGAUUCUUGCUUAGUGCUGAAAGAUUUGGAUUGAGUACCUUUGUCUCACUUAACUUAUCAAUGUUGCUGAGAAGUAGACAAAUAACAUGAACUUGCCAGCAGGAAUUUAAAGGUGAGUGACUUUACACUGAGACCCUGUUAAAAAGCAAAUGGCACUGUAGCUGUCCUCAGUACAUUUUGUCCUGAAGAAUUCCCUUCCAUUACAGCCCCCUACCCCCUGCAUCUACGUGGAUUGAAAACUCUAGAAGAUCUGUAAAUGUAACAACCUUCAGACUGCUGAAAAGAAGGUUUCACUGUGUCCUGUCAUUGCCUACACACAAGUUCUUUGGCUGGCUGAAUUGCCCAUCAACAGAUGAAUGGAUAAAUAAAAUGUGGUACUUAUAUACAGUGGAUUACUAUUCUCCCAUAAAAAAGGAUAAACUUUAGACAUUUUUUAGGCAAAUACAUGCAUCUCGAGACCAUAAUUUUAAAUGAAAUAAAUCAGAUACACAAAUUUAAAUAUUGCAUUGUUUCUCUCCUAUGAGAAACCCAAAGGAUAAGUAAGGAGCAAACUGGAGAACAGAUACUGGGUAGUGGGAAAAACUUGUUGAGAUGGGAAGAGGAAUAAGGGAGGAGGAGGGAAGGAUAGGAAAAGGGGUUUAAAAAAAGAAUGGAAGAAAAAAUGGAAACAAAGCUUUUGUAAAUGCAAAGGGGAAGAAGGUUGAAGGAAGUGGAAGGGAAUGGGAAAAAAAAAAUUGAGAUGUGUUAUGUACAGGUACAAAUUCCACAUGAUGAAUGUGAUCAUUUUGUAUGGCAAACCUGUACUAAUUUUAAAAAAGCUGUGUCUUAAAAUGCAAUUUUGGCUCAUUAAUAAAGGAGCUUCUGCGGAUCAUUGCAAGAGACCAAUGAAAUUAAAAUAUUACUAACAAGAUAUGACAAAACCAUGAACCUGCUUGACUCAAUAAAACUCACUGUAAAUGCAAGUAUCUUUGACAGUGAAACUGGUGCUAAUGGAGCUACUGUUCUGUCCACUUCUGCAGUGAACACCUUGGAGAACAGAAAGACAUAUAAAAGGCAGUGACCUUUGAGGAUGUGGCUGUGAACUUCACUACAGAGGAGUGGGCUUUGCUGGAUCCAUCCCAGAAGAAGCUCCACAGAGAUGUGAUGUGGGAAAACUUUAGGAAUGUGGCUGCUAUAGGAAGAAACUGGGAUGACCAGCAAAUUGAAGAUGAGUACAAAACUUACAGGAAAAAUUUAAGGUGAUUUUCACUCACAACACUGUUUCCCAAAGGUCAGAAAUGUUAAAACCAAGCAGACUGCAUGAAUGAGGCCAUGUUAAAAAAAAAAAAAAUACAGAGAGCCAGGCAUGGUGGCCAUGCCUAUAAUACCAGCACUUGGACAUCUGAUGCAGGAGGAUUGCCAGGAGUUUGAGGCCAGCCUGUGCUACAAAGUGCAGAGGUAGAUAAAUGCUCUCAAUAUAAAUUAUGGUAUCAAUAUGGAGAAAAAGUUUUUAUGACUUCCAGUAUAACUGUGCACUUGAAACUGCUUGGUAUAAAAGGUGAAAGCCUUGCAUGUGGAAAGCCUCUGAUUGGUCAUUCAUCACCAACCAUGCCCAUCAUACAUAAUGGUGGACUCAAAUCAUAUAAGCUCCAUGGAUUUGAACAGAAGCUGUCUAAUUGUAACAGACAUGAGAAAACCUCCACUGACUUUCAGUCCAUUCAGAAACAUGCAAAGACAAAUCCUGAAGAAAAAACAUAUGGAUAUAAGCAGUGUGGAAGAUCCUGCUCUGAUUGCACUGAAGGAAGUAACACUGAAGAGAAAUUCUUUGAAUGUAAGCAAGAUGUGAGAGCCUUCAGUACACCCAACUAUGUUCAAAUCCAGGAAAGAAAUCAUAGUAGCAUGAAUACCUAUAUAUGUAUACAACAUGGAAAAGAUUUGAAUUAUCACUAUGAUAUUCAGAAACAAAGUGCUCACACUGGAACAAAAUCCUAUGAACACUCUUGGAAAUCCAUAAAUAAUAACACUUCAUUUGGUAAUCAUUGCAUUCAAGUUCAUGAAAGAAUUCAUAUAAGAGGGAAGCCAUAUGUAUGCAAGCAAUAUGGGAAACACUUCCAUUUUUUCACUUACCAUGAAAAUCAUGAAGGGACUGCCACUGAAGAGAAAGCCUAUGUAAAUACUGUGUGAAAGGUUUUUAUGGUUCUUAUAACAUCAGAAAACAUGUACAAACUCAAAAUGAGAUUUAGUAUAAAUACCAAAUGUGAGAAAGCUUAAGAAUCAGAGUGACAGACAGGUGUUACACUGAUUGAAAGCACACAUGCAGAGGCAGUCUUCCUCCAAUAUAUCUAUGGAUUAAUAGGCUGAUGAGGUUGGAAAGUGCAUAAUGUUAAAUUCAGAGUAACAAAGCACCUUGCAUCCAAGUCUUCAACACAUGGCCUUUAAGGGACAUUUUACAUGCAAACCAUCGCCUUAGUUGUAUGGGUAAAAUUCAUUCAUACAAUGAUAUUUUAUUGAGUCUUAAAGGAAAUCCUCCAUUUGUGAAAAUGUAGAUCAAGAGGUUGUUAUUUGAAGUAUGCCACACAUAGAAAAAUUAAAGGUUUUUAACAUCUAAAGUUAACUUUAAAGAAGCAGAGAGUUUAGUGAUGGUUGCCAUGUGUGUAGGUGGGAAAGUUGAUAGAUGUUAAUGAGAAAGCACAGUGUUUCUCUUGUAGAGUACAAAAUGGCAUAGAUCCCAUAGUGAUUACAGUGAUUGAUGCUGUGCCACAUAGCAUUACAACUUGCUAAAAGUUGUUUUUAGUGAUUUCUCCAUAUAUCCAGAAGGUAAUUGUGUUAGAGAAUACAAGUACUACCAAGGACGAAUGUGGUAAUUUCACAAUAUGAACAGCAACAAAUUACACUGUAAAUGUUCAGUAUAUGAUUUUAUUAUUUCUUGAUGAAUACAAUUAAAUAUAGCAAAAAUUACAUGACUAUAAUUUCAUGCUGUGUCCACAGACUCCUUUAAUUUUUACAAAUGUAAUUUAGUUUGUACUGUUUUUAUUUCUGAAAGUAUUCAGUAUUUGUUGGUCCAAAGGUUGUGGGAUAUUGUUAAACUGAAAGUGUUCAGUAUUUCAGUGAAGUUUAUACUUGGAUCAUUGGAAAUGUAAAAUAGUUUCUUGAGGAUAUAAUUUGGAAACAAUUGACAUCAUGAGUUUAUUUCAUCCCAUUUUGACAGAAAGUAGUUAUAUAUAUGUUCUUUGUACAUUUUAAAAGCACUUAAGCUCGUAUGAUUUAAUUCACUUAACAUUGUUUUUAAGGUCUAUGCAUUGUCCUACAAAUGUCUUGAAUUUUUUCUUUAUAGCCAAGUAAUAUUCCAUUAUGUAUAGAUAUCAUAUUUUCUUCAUCUGUUAAUGAACAUAUAUGAGGAAACAAGAGAGAUAGCUUGUUGGCAAAUGGAAGGGAAUCAAGAAGCCAAGGAUAGGAAGAAGGGGAUAUAAAAAGAUUUAAUGCCAUGUACCAACUACACACAAUGAAUGCGGUCUUUAUGUGUUACAAACAUGAACUAAAAUGAUGAUGAUGAUGAUGAUGAUAUGAGGAAACAUGAUCUAGAGCCAGAUCAGAUGGUGGUGGAUGAGGAGGGGAAAGGAAAUCUUAAUCAAAAUGUUAAAUACAUAUGCCUGCUCUCUAAGUUGAAUGGACUUCAUGUACUUCAAACAUGUAUUAAUUAAAAUGCAUAAUACUUUAAUACUAGACCCUAUCUUAGUGCAUUGUAGUGGGCCAAAUCAAAAUACCACAGGAUUAUUCACCUUAUGAAAUAAUUAUUUCUCACAGUUGUGCAGCCUAGGAAAUCCAGCAUCAGAGCACUGGCAACUUCAAUAUCUCAUGAGAAAUUGUUUACCUAUGGUGACUUCUAACCAAAUUCUCAAAAGGCAGGGAGGUGUACAAGGUGCCUCAUGUCACAAAUUCCAGAGAGCCCACCUCCUCAACCAUCACUUUGGAAUUAGGUUCUAAAACAUGUAUUUUGGGAUAACUACACAUUCAGAACACAGAAAUCAUUAUAUGAAGUUAUAUUGUGUGUUGAACAAUAUAAUGGGUUGCAUGUGGCUUCAUGUGUCCUCCGGCAGUAUUAUGCUGAUAUACAGUACACACUUAGAAGUAAGCGAUCUUUUUCAAUUAGAAUUUACAAGAAAUAAUGCAAUUGUAGAUGUGAUAACUGAAUUAGGCACAGUUUUCCUGAAGGAAAGACAAGUUUGAUCACCAUUUAUUUUGAGAUCCUCAAAGUAAAUAUUAAAAGUAAAUGACAGGGAUUUUUGCGAGGCUCAUAAAAUAAUUUCCCAUGUUAUCAGUGCCAGCUGCUUCCUGAGUGGAUUAAGCUCCUAUCAGCAUAGCCAAAAAUUGUUACAGAGGACAGAAAAAGAAUGUUAAAAAUGAAGUUUCUGAGGUCAUCAGAGAAUCUGCAUAGAAUCUGCAGUGUGAUGUUAAAUUUUAAUUUCACAAAGUCAGGCCAGUGCAGUGUAUUUCCAAGUGCAAUUCAUUUCCCCAUUUACCACUUCUUUUCCAAAAAACAGGUGUUUCAGCAUGGUCACAUCACAUCACUUGGCUUGAAUAUCUGACUUCUAGCAAACCCACUCCAUUAACUUCCGCCAGUGAGUCCUGCAUUCUCUGAGUAAUGUAACCCUACUUGUCAUUUUCCACAUUCCCCCUAACACCUCACAGUUCAGUGUAGUAAUGUCUUCAUUGGCUUCUUCCUCUUUCAAUAUGGAAACAUUCCAUUAGAUUUCUAAGGGGCACAUUUCACAUCUGUGGCCUUUCAGGCCUAAUUUUUGUAAUAUGUAUGCUAAAGGCCAGAAUUAUUUCUUUAGAAAGCAUGUCAAAAUUUCAAGUCUGCAUUCGAUAACCUGUAAACAUAUACUUAGAACAUGAGUGCAUCCAAUAUGCAGGUCUUUGUCCAUGCAUUAUAUAUUCAACAUUCUAAGGACUUUUUGAGGUACAGUUCUGAUUGACUGGUUUUACUGAUAAAACACCUGAAGCUAGAGAAAUUUUAAAGUAUCACAAGUUCUCAUAGCUUGGGUCACUAUGAAGAAGCUAAAAUGUAUGUGUAUGGGUGUAAUUCUACCCUCUUCUGCCCUUAUUUUGUUUUUCUCUGACCUAUAUGCCAUGAAUCAUGAAUUCUUCCUCUGCUGCCUGGUCUUUUCCUCGGUCUUCUUUUAUUCUGCAAAGGAGAAUCUUUUGUGACUUGAUCUUACCAUGUCUAUAAUGUACUCAUUAUUAUGGAUCCAUAUGAGAUGCCUUGGUAGUGCCCAUCUGCUGGUUGAGUUGAAAUAUUACAAAAUAAAGGGAAGGUUCUGACUCA